UGGAAGACUUGUGAUUUUGUUGUC
rnacentral:ncRNA from 2 species